CAAUUUUCCUCUCACCAAAUUCACUUCUCAGUGUGACAUAGACAAUGUAUGAGUCACACUCCCUUGCUUGAGUGAUGUGAUAUAGGAUAUUGGGGUGGGUCAAACAGGUCAACUCAUGUUAAGUUCUUCACUGGCCUCAGAUACUAUAGUUACCAGUAAACUCCACUUUAUAGAACUCUGAUUAUGCUUCUGACCUUCUCAACAGGUCAAAACAGAAUGGGUCUAUAGGAAAGAAUGAACAAGACAGAGACAGAAGAAUGAACAAAUGAAGAGUCAUAAGACUUUAACUGGUAUGGGAGAGAAAGAGAGGAAAUGUGUAACAGGAAAUGAUGUGACAAGGCAGGAGAAAAGAGGCUCUGAACUAAAACCAGUGAAGGUCAGUGAGGGAAACCAGAGUGGAAUGGGGGGCCAGAUCUGCUUGUCAGGGUCUGCACUUGCUUUUACCUAUGCUUCUCCACAAGGGACUAGCAGAUCCCAAUGAGAAGCAGUCAGAAUAUCCUGAUGGAUAAAAAGUGUAAAGAAACCACUGGGAUCUUCCACCGAUGGAAAGCCCCUGGGACCGAGCUUCAUUCCUGAGUCUUCAUCUAAGAACUGGCCCUACUAUCUAUAUUUUUGUGGUAAAACAUUCAUCUUCUGGGAGAGAGUCAACCUUUUGAAGAGUCCCUCCAUAUUUAGCCUGGUUGGUGCUCAGCUAGCAGAUUUUGUCUGUAGUCAGACCUACAAAAUUUUUUCUCAGUCCAAGAGAAAUGAUUGUUCUUGGCUUAAAUUUCUGUCCUCCAGAAAGCAUAGUCCUAGCUUAAGGGACAGAUUUUCAGUUUUCAUUCUCAUUCUAAUUCUGUUCAAAGGGAGUCUGAUCACUGUUUCAGAACUCCUACUCUUAUUGCUCUACUGAAACUGCUCUCUCAAAUGUUUCUAAUAAAAGAGGUAAUCUAGGGGAA